AGAGUGUGGACUUCACAAAAAAAUAUUGCUCAGUAUAUCCUUUGUUUGUUUCUAUGUUUCUAAUGAUUUGGUUUAUGGUAUAAUCUGUAUUUGAUUGUACUUAUUCUGUAAUUGUUAUUUUCUAGGUAUAUCUCCAGAAAAACAAAAAAUUAAUCACAGGAUCAGAAUACACUCUGGAUUUUCUUCCCACGUGCAGACUACGUCUUCUGAAGUGUUGAAUCCAUGCACAGCAACACCUUCCUCUUGGAUAGUCAAAAGCUGAUGACCCUGGAUGACUGCUGAUGCUCUUUAUAGGUAUGUGGAGUUGCAGAGGGAGGAACUGAACUCCAUAAAAUCCCUGAGUGCAGUCAAGUGAAUCAAGUGUUUGCCUCCUUUGUUCUGAACUUUCUGUUUGUUGUCCUAGGUACGUUUGUAAUUCUUUAGCAUGCGGUGUUUUUUAAUGGCAAAGCUGUUUUUCAGCAGUAACCAUUUGUGCGUAUGAAAUAAUUGAAGUUCACACAAUAAAGCAUAGUUCAAUUUACUUGAACA
rnacentral:lncRNA from 1 species